GUGGGGGAUAUUGCACAAUGGAGGAAACUCUGAUGCAGCGACGCCGCGUGAGUGAAGAAGUAUUUCGGUAUGUAAAGCUCUAUCAGCAGGGAAGAUAAUGACAGUACCUGACUAAGAAGCCCCGGCUAACUACGUGCCAGCAGCCGCGGUAAUACGUAGGGGGCAAGCGUUAUCCGGAUUUACUGGGUGUAAAGGGAGCGUAGACGGAAUGGCAAGUCUGAAGUGAAAUCCUGCGGCUUAACUGCAGAAUUGCUUUGGAAACUGUCAAUCUGGAGUGUUGGAGAGGUAAGCGGAAUUCCUGGUGUAGCGGUGAAAUGCGUAGAUAUCAGGAAGAACACCGGAGGCGAAGGCGGCUUACUGGACAGGUAUUGACGCUGAGGUGCGAAAGCGUGGGGAGCAAACAGGAUUAGAUACCCGAGUAGUCC
rnacentral:rRNA from 1 species